rnacentral:rRNA from 1 species
GCUGGCGGCAUGCCUCAUACAUGCAAGUCGAACGAAAUCCUCGGAUUUAGUGGCGCACGGGUGAGUAACAUGUGGGAAUCUACCUGAAGGUUCGGAAUAACUGCGGGAAACUGUAGCUAAUACCGGAUGUGUCUGCAAAGAGAAAGAUUUAUCGCCUUCAGAUGAGCCCGCACUAGAUUAGCUAGUUGGUGAGGUAAUUGCUCCACCAAGGCUACGAUCUAUAGCUGAUUUGAGAGGAUGAUCAGCCACACUGGGACUGAGACACGGCCCAGACUCCUACGGGAGGCAGCAGUAGGGAAUAUUGGACAAUGGGGGAAACCCUGAUCCAGCAAUGCCGCGUGAGUGAAGAAGGCCCUCGGGUUGUAAAACUCUUUCAUCAAUGAUGAUAAUGACAUUAGUUGAAGAAGAAGCUCCGGCUAACUUCGUGCCAGCAGCCGCGGUAAUACGAAGGGGGCUAGCGUUGUUCGGAAUCACUGGGCGUAAAGCGUAUGUAGGCGGAUCAAAAAGUUAGAUGUGAAAUCCCUGGGCUCAACCCAGGAACUGCAUUUAAAACUAGUGAUCUAGAAUUUGGUAAGGGUUAGUAGAAUUUCCAGUGUAGAGGUGAAAUUCGUAGAUAUUGGAAAGAAUACCAGAAGCGAAGGCGACUAACUAGGCCAUUUUUGACGCUGAGAUACGAAAGCGUGGGUAGCAAACAGGAUUAGAUACCCUGGUAGUCCACGCAGUAAACGAUGAGUGCUAGUCGCUGGUGCAAUAGCAUCAGUGUCGAAGCUAACGCAUUAAGCACUCCGCCU